GCAGAGGCUAGUAGAUUUUCCUCAAGAAUUUGACGGUAUUUUGCCUCAUCUAUUUUUCCUUCUAUCCUGACAAGUGCUCCAGUCCCUGCUGCAGAGAAACACCCUCAUAACAGGAUAUUACCACCUCUGUGUUUUACUGUAAUGCUGUUUUUUGGAUGUUGAACUGUAUUGUAUUUCCACCAGACAUAUUGUUUGGUGUUAAGGCCAAAUAAUUAAAUUUUAGUUGCAUCUGCCUCAGAAUCUUCAAGGUAUGUUUUGGCAAAGCUCAGUCAUGACUGCAUGUGGCCUUUCUUGAGAAGUGGCUUUUUUAUUGCAACCCUCCCAUACAAGCCACAUUUAUGGAGAAUUUGUGAUAUUGUUGUCACAUGCACACAAUGACCACUCUUUGUCAUAAAUUCCCACAGCUGCUUCAGAGUUGCUAAAGGCCUCUUGGUAGCCUAUUUGACCAGUUUCCUCCUGGCUCUUUCAUCCAGUUUGGAGGGACAUCCUGAUCCAGGGAGGGUUUGCAUUGUACCAAAUACCUUCCACUUCUUAAUAAUAGACUUCACUGUGCUUCUAGGCAUUGAUAAACCUUUGAAUUUUUUUUUUUGCAUCCAUCUCCUGACUUGUGCCUGUCCACAACUUAUCCCAGAGAUCUUUUGACAGUGCCUUGCCACCCAUAGUUUAGCACUUUUCAUGUUGAGUCAAAAAUGAUACAGCUGAUCACAGUUGAAAGUCAAAUGGCUUUGUGUGCCAUUGAGAAGGUGAUUAGCUACAUCUGAUUGAGUUUACAAGUCAUUUUUAGGAGGGGGGUGAUUCUUUUUCCAACUCAGUGAUUCUAGUUUUUUAUUUAUUUAUUUUUCUGACAUAUUGGUGUUAUACCUUUCACUUGGAUGGUUGAAAGUUGCACUGAGUAAAUACAGCUGGAUAAAACAAAAACUGUGUCCAUCUUCAUUUCAGGCUGUAAAGCAACAAAAUGUGAUUAUUUAAAAGGGGGGAUUCUUUUCUAUACCCACUGUAUAUACACUGAAUAAAAUUAUAAAUGCAA
ensembl:lncRNA